rnacentral:rRNA from 1 species
UACGUAAGUGGCGAGCGUUAUCCGGAAUCACUGGGCGUAAAGCGCGCGCAGGCGGCGAUCUACGUCUGGGGUGAAAGCCCGGAGCUCAACUCCGGGACUGCCUUGGAUACGGGAUCGCUUGAGGAUUGGAGAGGCAAGGGGAAUUCCACGUGUAGCGGUGAAAUGCGUAGAUAUGUGGAGGAACACCUGUGGCGAAGGCGCCUUGCUGGCCAAUUUCUGACGCUGAGGCGCGAAAGCGUGGGGAGCAAACAGG